CUUGGGUACUCGAGUGGCGAACGGGUGAGUAACACGUGGGUGAUCUGCCCUGCACUUCGGGAUAAGCCUGGGAAACUGGGUCUAAUACCGGAUAGGAACCGUCUUUAGUGUGGUGGUUGGAAAGUUUUUUCGGUGCAAGAUGAGCUCGCGGCCUAUCAGCUUGUUGGUGGGGUAAUGGCCUACCAAGGCGUCGACGGGUAGCCGGCCUGAGAGGGUGUACGGCCACAUUGGGACUGAGAUACGGCCCAG
rnacentral:rRNA from 1 species